rnacentral:rRNA from 1 species
GAGGAAUAUUGGUCAAUGGGCGCAAGCCUGAUCCAGCCAUGCCGCGUGUGUGAAGAAGGCCUUCGGGUUGUAAAGCACUUUAAGUGGGGAGGAAAAGCGGUACGUGAAUAUCGUGCUGCCGUGACGCUACCCACAGAAUAAGCACCGGCAAACUCCGUGCCAGCAGCCGCGGUAAUACGGAGGGUGCGAGCGUUAAUCGGAAUUACUGGGCGUAAAGCGCACGUAGGCGGCUCUAUAAGUGGGAUGUGAAACCCCCGGGCUUAACCUGGGACUUGCAUACCAGACUGUAUGGCUAGAGUAUGAGAGAGGGUGGUGGAAUUUCCGGUGUAGCGGUGAAAUGCGUAGAGAUCGGAAGGAACAUCAGUGGCGAAGGCGGCCACCUGGCUUAAUACUGACGCUGAGGUGCGAAAGCGUGGGGAUCAAA